AACGAACGCUGGCGGCAUGCCUAACACAUGCAAGUCGAACGAGACCUUCGGGUCUAGUGGCUCACGGGUGCGUAACGCGUGGGAACCUGCCCUUAUGUUCGGAAUAACUCUCCGAAAGGGGUGCUAAUACCGGAUAAUGUCUUCGGACCAAAGAUUUAUCGCCUUUGGAUGGGCCGGCGUUGGAUUAGCUAGUUGGUAGGGUAAAAGCCUACCAAGGCGACGAUCCAUAGCUGGUCUGAGAGGAUGAUCAGCCACACUGGGACUGAGACACGGCCCAGACUCCUACGGGAGGCAGCAGUGGGGAAUAUUGGACAAUGGGCGAAAGCCUGAUCCAGCAAUGCCGCGUGAGUGAUGAAGGCCUUAGGGUUGUAAAGCUCUUUUACCCGGGAUGAUAAUGACAGUACCGGGAGAAUAAGCACCGGCUAACUCCGUG
rnacentral:rRNA from 1 species